ACCCCCAGCCCUUCUCCUCCUCCUCCUUUCAUAUCCUCUGUGAGGACACCCAGCAGCCCAGAAGAUGAUGGUGAGCCUGGAGGAGUUCAGCUAGCCGCUGCUGGGGCUGCAGCUUCAUUCUGGUUGCCGUCGGAGAUGAGAAAGACCCUCCCUGUGCAGGACCAGAGGGUUCUGGGCGGGGCCGUCCAACUCCUCAUCUCAGAGGAGCCUACAGACCUCGGUCUUUGGACGGUCCUCCAUUCGUACAUUUUUGUUGUUAAUGUCUGU